AGCUUGUUCUGAACGGCACUAGUUCCCAGUCUCAUGAACAGCCUGGCAGCUGAGUGAGACCUGCCGCUUCGCCCGGGCCCUGAGACCAGCGAAGGCUUCAAAUGGCCAAACAGAAACAACAGAAAUGACACAGAUGCUGACUUGGGUACAUGUCAUUGUGUAUGUGUUGAAAUGUGGAAAUAAAUACGUUUUCCUCUCUCC